rnacentral:tRNA from 1 species
GGAGAGAUGGCGGAGUGGUCGAUCGCGGCGGUCUUGAAAACCGUUGUACUUCACGGUACCGGGGGUUCGAAUCCCUCUCUCUCCG